GACCUCGGAUCAGGUAGGAAUACCCGCUGAACUUAAGCAUANU
rnacentral:rRNA from 1 species